ACAGGAUCAUUUUAUUAGAAAAACAUGACAAAGAAAGAAGACACUUUAAAUAAGUAAAACAUUACUCUAGGGAACCGGUGGACAUGGAGAAGGCAGUUACUUAAAUCUCUGACAUCUCUGAAUUGCACUUAGUCUCGAGGCAUUUGUAUCAAAGCUGGGAACUGCUAUUGGUAGAAAGAGAAUAGUUUACUGGUCCAUAAACCAAUGGGAGGGACAGUCAUGACAAGACAUGAAAAGGUUUUGGGGUGCAGCCAAAAAUAUUCUUUAUUUUCUUAAAGGGGUACUCCACUGCACCAGCGUUUGGAACAUUUUGUUCCAAACGCUGGGUGCGGGGGUCGCGAGGUCAUAUCCAUGCCCCUCGUGACCUCACGCCACUCCCCCUCAAUGCCAGUCUAUGGGAGGGGGUGUGGCGGCUGCCACACCCCCUCCCAUAGACUGGCAUUGAGGGGAAGUGGUGUGACAUCACAAGGAGCAUGGAUAUGACCUCACGACCCCCGUAGCCAGCGAUCUCCUUGCUACCCCCGACAUUCAUAUAGAGUGUUGGGUGCAGUGUCAGAGGCUUGUGACAUCACGGCCGCGCCCCGCUCAUGACAUCACAGCCACACACCCUCAAUGCAAGUCAUGGAAGGGGGCCAGGGCGCAGCCAUGACGUCGCGAGCCUCUGCCCCACAUCGCCAGUCAUCCGGCCAGAGCAAAGUUCGCUCUGUGCAUUGGAUAUCUGGGGUGCCGCAGUCGAGAGAUUGCCGGGGUCCCCAGCGUCGAGACCCCCACGAUCAGAAAUAUCCCCUAUCCUUUGGAAAGGGGAUAAGAUGUCUGGGGCAGAGUACCUCUUUAAAGGGGUACUCCCGUGGAAUUUUUUUUUUUUUUUUU